rnacentral:rRNA from 1 species
UACCAGCACCCCGAGUUGUCGGGACGAUUAUUGGGUCCUAAAGCAUCCGUUAGCCUGUUCUACAAGUCCUCCGUUAAAUCCACCUGCUCAACAGAUGGGCUGCGGGGGAUACUAUAGGGCUAGGAGGCGGGAGAGGCAAACGGUACUCAGUGGGUAGGGGUAAAAUCCAUUGAUCUACUGAAGACCACCAGUGGCGAAGGCGGUUUGCCAGAACGCGCUCGACGGUGAGGAUGAAAGCUGGGGGAGC